CACACCGUCUGAUCCGAAACUUCAGCUAAAAAGGGCUCAACACUGCAACCGCUACUUGCCUCUAGGAGAAAAACUUGUGGCUACGGAGACGUAUGAAGAGUGCAAGUUUAGUUGCUAUGUCGAAGCCCAGUAUUCUUUCGUUCUACCGGACGAGGAUGGCACACCCUGCGACCCAAAUAAUCUCUUCAAGAAAUGUGAAGGAGGAAUCUGCAAAGUAAAAUAAUAAAUGACAGCUGCCAGUAAAUGAAGUAUUGAGCGAACGGCAGACUACUUUUCUUGCAUGACGUUUUUUUCUGGUCCCUCCCUCCAUUGACUGGUUACGUGCUGGCUUUAAGAAGUGUUCAACGCUGAAAGAUACUAGAAGAACAAACAGCACUCUUUUACUUCAAGAACCUCU
rnacentral:lncRNA from 1 species